rfam:Ictidomys tridecemlineatus contig052367, whole genome shotgun sequence.
AGAGUUGUGGCUUAGUGGUAGAGCGCUCAUCUCUCAUGUGCGAGGUCCUGGGUUUGAUCCUCAGCACUA